UACGGGGGGGGCAAGCGUUGUUCGGAAUUACUGGGCGUAAAGGGCUCGUAGGCGGCCAACUAAGUCGGAUGUGAAAUCCCCAGGCUUAACCUGGGAACUGCAUCCGAUACUGGAUGGCUUGAAUCCGGGAGAGGGAUGCAGAAUUCCAGGUGUAGCGGUGAAAUGCGUAGAUAUCUGGAGGAACACCGGUGGCGAAGGCGGGUCUCUGGGCAACAACUGACGCUGAGGAGCGAAAGCGUGGGGAGCGAACAGG
rnacentral:rRNA from 1 species